rnacentral:rRNA from 3 species
UGGUGGGUAGUUUGACUGGGGCGGUCUCCUCCUAAAGAGUAACGGAGGAGCACGAAGGUUGGCUAAUCCUGGUCGGACAUCAGGAGGUUAGUGCAAUGGCAUAAGCCAGCUUGACUGCGAGCGUGACGGCGCGAGCAGGUGCGAAAGCAGGUCAUAGUGAUCCGGUGGUUCUGAAUGGAAGGGCCAUCGCUCAACGGAUAAAAGGUACUCCGGGGAUAACAGGCUGAUACCGCCCAAGAGUUCAUAUCGACGGCGGUGUUUGGCACCUCGAUGUCGGCUCAUCACAUCCUGGGGCUGAAGUAGGUCCCAAGGGUAUGGCUGUUCGCCAUUUAAAGUGGUACGCGAGCUGGGUUUAGAACGUCGUGAGACAGUUCGGUCCCUAUCUGCCGUGGGCGCUGGAGAACUGAGGGGGGCUGCUCCUAGUACGAGAGGACCGGAGUGGACGCAUCACUGGUGUUCG